AGUGGCGGACGGGUGAGUAACACGUGGGUAACCUGCCCUUAAGCGGGGGAUAACAUUUGGAAACAGAUGCUAAUACCGCAUAGAUCCAAGAACCGCAUGGUUCUUGGCUGAAAGAUGGCGUAAGCUAUCGCUUUUGGAUGGACCCGCGGCGUAUUAGCUAGUUGGUGAGGUAAUGGCUCACCAAGGCGAUGAUACGUAGCCGAACUGAGAGGUUGAUCGGCCACAUUGGGACUGAGACACGGCCCAAACUCCUACGGGAGGCAGCAGUAGGGAAUCUUCCACAAUGGACGCAAGUCUGAUGGAGCAACGCCGCGUGAGUGAAGAAGGCUUUCGGGUCGUAAAACUCUGUUGUUGGAGAAGAAUGGUCGGCAGAGUAACUGUUGUCGGCGUGACGGUAUCCAACCAGAAAGCCACGGCUAACUACGUGCCAGCAGCCGCGGUAAUACGUAGGUGGCAAGCGUUAUCCGGAUUUAUUGGGCGUAAAGCGAGCGCAGGCGGUUUUUUAAGUCUGAUGUGAAAGCCCUCGGCUUAACCGAGGAAGCGCAUCGGAAACUGGGAAACUUGAGUGCAGAAGAGGACAGUGGAACUCCAUGUGUAGCGGUGAAAUGCGUAGAUAUAUGGAAGAACACCAGUGGCGAAGGCGGCUGUCUGGUCUGUAACUGACGCUGAGGCUCGAAAGCAUGGGUAGCGAACAGGAUUAGAUACCCUGGUAG
rnacentral:rRNA from 1 species